rnacentral:rRNA from 1 species
UUUGUACCUACGGGGGGCAGCAGUGAGGAAUAUUGGUCAAUGGGCGAGAGCCUGAACCAGCCAAGUCGCGUGAGGGAGGACGGCCCUACGGGUUGUAAACCUCUUUUGUCAGGGAACAAAGGCGGGGACGUGUCCCCGGAUGAGUGUACCUGAAGAAAAAGCAUCGGCUAACUCCGUGCCAGCAGCCGCGGUAAUACGGAGGAUGCGAGCGUUAUCCGGAUUUAUUGGGUUUAAAGGGUGCGCAGGCGGUCUGUUAAGUCAGCGGUCAAAGCCCGGGGCUCAACCCCGGCCCGCCGUUGAAACUG